rnacentral:ncRNA from 1 species
ACUAUCAAAGGGCAAACUUCACGAAAGUGAAGGACGCAAAGCUGUGGGUCUAAGGUAAUUUUCAUUACUAUGAUUGUCAGGCUGCAAGA